rnacentral:rRNA from 1 species
GGUUAAGCGACUAAGCGUACACGGUGGAUGCCCUGGCAGUCAGAGGCGAUGAAGGACGUGCUAAUCUGCGAUAAGCGUCGGUAAGGUGAUAUGAACCGUUAUAACCGGCGAUUUCCGAAUGGGGAAACCCAGUGUGAUUCGUCACACUAUCAUUAACUGAAUCCAUAGGUUAAUGAGGCGAACCGGGGGAACUGAAACAUCUAAGUACCCCGAGGAAAAGAAAUCAACCGAGAUUCCCCCAGUAGCGGCGAGCGAACGGGGAGCAGCCCAGAGCCUGAAUCAGUGUGUGUGUUAGUGGAAGCGUCUGGAAAGGCGUGCGAUACAGGGUGACAGCCCCGUACACAAAAAUGCACAUACUGUGAGCUCGAUGAGUAGGGCGGGACACGUGGUAUCCUGUCUGAAUAUGGGGGGACCAUCCUCCAAGGCUAAAUACUCCUGACUGACCGA